GAUGAACGCUGGCGGCGUGCCUAAUACAUGCAAGUCGAGCGAACGGACGAGAAGCUUGCUUCUCUGAUGUUAGCGGCGGACGGGUGUGUAACACGUGGAUAACCUACUUAUAAGACUGGGAUAACUUCGGGAAACCGGAGCUAAUACCGGAUAAUAUUUUGCACCGCAUGGUUCAAAAGUGAAAGACGGUCUUGCUGUCACUUAUAGCUGGAUCCGCGCUGCAUUAGCUAGUUGGUAAGGUAACGGCUUACCAAGGCAACGAUGCAUAGCCGACCUGAGAGGGUGAUCGGCCACACUGGAACUGAGACACGGUCCAGACUCCUACGGGAGGCAGCAGUAGGGAAUCUUCCGCAAUGGGCGAAAGCCUGACGGAGCAACGCCGCGUGAGUGAUGAAGGUCUUCGGAUCGUAAAGCUCUGUUAUUAGGGAAGAACAGAUGUGUAAGUAACUGUGCACAUCUUGACGGUACCUAAUCAGAAAGCCACGGCUAACUACGUG
rnacentral:rRNA from 1 species